rnacentral:rRNA from 1 species
UGCAGUCGACGAUGAAGCCUAGCUUGCUGGGUGGAUUAGUGGCGAACGGGUGAGUAACACGUGAGCAACCUGCCCCUGACUUUGGGAUAACUGCUGGAAACGGUAGCUAAUACUGGAUAUGACUGAUCAUCGCAUGGUGGUUGGUGGAAAGUUUUUCGGUUGGGGAUGGGCUCGCGGCCUAUCAGCUUGUUGGUGGGGUAAUGGCCUACCAAGGCGAUGACGGGUAGCCGGCCUGAGAGGGCGACCGGCCACACUGGGACUGAGACACGGCCCAGACUCCUACGGGAGGCAGCAGUGGGGAAUAUUGCACAAUGGGCGAAAGCCUGAUGCAGCGACGCCGCGUGAGGGAUGACGGCCUUCGGGUUGUAAACCUCUUUCAGUAGGGAAGAAGCGUAAGUGACGGUACCUGCAGAAGAAGCGCCGGCUAACUACGUGCCAGCAGCCGCGGUAAUACGUAGGGCGCAAGCGUUGUCCGGAAUUAUUGGGCGUAAAGAGCUUGUAGGCGGUUUGUCACGUCUGGUGUGAAAACCCACCGCUCAACGGUGGGCUUGCAUCGGGUACGGGCAGGCUAGAGUAUGGUAGGGGAAACUGGAAUUCCUGGUGUAGCGGUGAAAUGCGCAGAUAUCAGGAGGAACACCGAUGGCGAAGCAGGUUUCUGGGCCAUUACUGACGCUGAAAGCGAAAGCAUGGGGAGCGAACAGGAUUAGAUACCCUGGUAGUCCAUGCCGUAAACGUUGGGCACUAGGUGUGGGGAACAUUCCACGUUUUCCGCGCCGUAGCUAACGCAUUAAGUGCCCCCCUGGGGAGUACGGCC